GCCACGGUACCGAAGCGGUCUAACGGCCAGGUCUGCAAAACCUCGGAUUCGCGGGUUCGAAUCCCGCCCGUGGCU
rnacentral:tRNA from 1 species